CGCCCACGCUCCCUUCCUCGGUCUGCCUACGGGCGUGGAAACUGCCGGAGUGCGGAAGAGAGCUGCUGCUUACCUGAUGUAGAUUUCUAGAUCAUUCCUCUAACCUACUCUAAUGUGUUGGUACCCUUGUGGUGACAAGAAGAUUGAAACGAGUGGAAUUUCCACACCAGUGGGAAGUUGAAGACAGAUCAAGAGCACUUUGUCUACUGCUCAUCCCUUAGCCAGGUCGUAUAGGUGAGAUGCAACCGGCAAGUGCUGAAAAUGAACAGACACAAAGGUUUACAAAACAACCCUGAAACCAAGACUCUCAAGCAGUAUUGAAGUUUCCUCUGAAGAAGAAAUCCUCAUUUUAUAAUCUUUCAACGCACUAUCCUGGAUAAUUUCUUUGCCGGAAGAAUUUUGUUUUUCUUUUUUGCUGGAAGAAUUUUGUUUUUCUUUUUUGCUUUCUCUCUCUCUUUCUCUCUCUCUCUUUCUUUUCCCAUUUUUAAGGAUUAGUUUUCAGCCUGCCAAUAGUGGUACAUGCCUUUAAUCCUAGCAGUCAGGAGGCAGAGGCAGGAGGAUUUCGUGAGUUCGAAGUCAACUUGGAAAAAGAGAAUUAGUUUUCUUUUCCUUUUUUUCUUUUUUAAAGAUUUAUUUAAUAUAUGUGAGUACAUUGUUGCUGUAUUUAGACACACCAGAAGAGGGCUCCAGAUCUCAUUACAGAUCAUUGUGAGCUACCAUGUGGUUGCUGGGACUUGAACUCAGGACCUCUGGAAGAACAAUCAGUGCUCUUAACCACUGAGACAUCUCUCCAGCCCCCUUUUUGGUUUUUCAAGACAGGGUUUCUCUGUGUAGCCCUGGCUAUCCUGGAACUCACUCUGUAGACCAGGCUGGCCUCAAACUCAGAAAUCCACCUGCCUCUGCCUCUGCCUCCCAAUUGCUGGGAUUAAAGCCAGUGCCACCACUGCCCACCCAGCCCUUGGUUCUUAUUUCUAAGGAACAAAAUUGCUUGUUUCAUAUUGUGUCUGGACAGCAUCACUGGCUUCAUGGUGCCAAUAGUUCAGCAUGCAGUACUGGUGGGAUCAGGCCCAAGCCUUGCUUUUCUCAUUUUGUUUGUAUAAGAUCCAGUGCACAUAUAUAGCUUUGCUUUAAAACUUUCAAGUGUCUGUGAUGAUUAAACUUGAUGGGACCUA